GACGAACGCUGGCGGCGUGCUUAACACAUGCGAGUCGAACGCGGAAGCUCAGCUUUUGUUGGGGGGAGGAGUGGCGAACGGGUGAGUAACACGUGAGUAACCUGCCCCCUCCUUUGGGCUAACUCCCGGCAACGGGGGCUAAUACUGGAUAUGCACUGUUCUUCGCUUGGGGGGUGGUGGAAAGGGAGUUUCUGGUGGGGGAGGGGCUCGCGGCGUUUGAGGUUGUUGGUGGGGUGAUGGCCUACCAAGGCUUUGACGGGUAGCGGGGCUGUGAGGGUGAACGGUCACACUGGGACUCGGAUACGGCCCCGACUCCUGCCGGCGGCAGCAGUGGGGAAUAUUGGGGCGUAGGCGCAAGGCUGAUGCGGCGAGGGAGCGUGGGGGAUGGAGGCCUUGGGGUUGUGAACCGCUUUUGAUCAUGGUCCAGCCGCUACAAUGGUUGUGGUGAGGGUAGUGGGUAAAGAAGCGCCGGCUAACUACGUG
rnacentral:rRNA from 1 species